UACGGGGGGGGCAAGCGUUGUUCGGAAUUACUGGGCGUAAAGGGCUCGUAGGUGGCCAACUAAGUCAGACGUGAAAUCCCUCGGCUUAACCGGGGAACUGCGUCUGAUACUGGAUGGCUUGAGGUUGGGAGAGGGAUGCGGAAUUCCAGGUGUAGCGGUGAAAUGCGUAGAUAUCUGGAGGAACACCGGUGGCGAAGGCGGCAUCCUGGACCAAUUCUGACACUGAGGAGCGAAAGCCAGGGGAGCAAACGGGAUAGAAA
rnacentral:rRNA from 1 species